CCCUGUCCGAAUCCGAGUGAAAUAUGGGUACUGCGAUUCUCACUUCAAUCUUCACCAGUGGCUUGGUUUCCUCAUUGUGGAACUCGAAUUGCCGGAGUUUCGGGACUCCUGUGGCCCUCGCGCGCACAUUAGCCUCGAGCAAUGUGUUCAGUAGGCGGCACAAGCGUGUGGUUUGGUGUUCCAACAAUCCAACCUGUACCCGUGAACUCACUGCAUCAUCAGAUUCUGCUAACACUUCUUCUGUUAAUGGCUACCCUGAAUAUCAUCGCUUGCUACCAUGUCCUUCUCAAAAUGGCCCACCAAGAGUUGAGCAUUUGGUUGUUUCAGAAGGAGGGUGUGUUCUAGAUUAUAUCAGUAAAGCUUUGGAUCUUCCUCCUUUGUUUGUUGCAGAUCUCAUCCAUUUUGGAGCUGUAUAUUAUGCACUUGUAUGUCCAGAGCCUCCUCCAAGUGCAACACCAGAACAGGUUCGUUUAUUUAAAGAAGUAACGGCACCUUCAGUCCUGAGAAAGAGGCCUUCCAUUAAAGGAAAAACUAUACGAGAAGCACAGAAGACUUUCCGGAUAACUGAUGUUAAUGAGUUUGUUGAAGCUGGAACAUACUUACGUGUGCAUGUACACCCAAAACGCUUCCCAAGGUGUUAUGAAAUUGAUUGGAAAUCAAGAAUUAUUGCUGUAACUGAAUCUUAUGUGGUUUUGGACAAACCUGCUGGGACAUCAGUAGGAGGAACAACAGACAACAUUGAAGAAAGUUGUGCAACUUUUGCCACUCGUGCCUUGGGAUUAACAACUCCAUUGAGGACUACCCAUCAGAUUGAUAAUUGCACUGAAGGCUGUGUCGUUUUAGCAAGGACUAAGGAGUACUGCUCAGUUUUUCAUGGAAAAAUCAGAGAGAAAAAGGUCAAGAAGCUUUAUCGUGCCCUUGCUGCUGCUCCUAUGCCAAUUGGAAUAGUUACCCACUACAUGCGUCCGGUUAAUAUUGCUCCAAGACUUAUUUCAGAAGAUUUCAUUAAAGGAUGGUACCUGUGCCAACUUGAGGUCUUAGAAUGCAAGGAGGUUCCCUGGCCUAGCACUCUCAUUGAAGAGAAGUAUUGUAUUGAGGACAGAGGGUGGCCCUUAAAAAAUUCUGCCUUCGAGUGUAAAAUCAACCUUUUGACCGGUCGUACUCAUCAGAUUCGAGCACAAUUGGCUGCCUGUGGUGCACCUAUAGUGGGCGACUCGAUGUACAUGCCAGCUGCAAUUGCAGAGAUCACAAGUCCUGGACUUAACCCAUUUGGAAAAUACAAGAAAAAAUAUACAACAGAGAAUGAUAGAGAAACAGCAGUUGCAGAGUGGAUUGCACAGCAUGGAAAGGAACCUGGAGUUGCUAUUGGUCUUCAGGCAUGCCAGAUUUCUUGGGAUGAUGGAGAGCACUUUUACAAGGCUGGAUCUCCAUGGUGGACGUGAGAAAUGGAAUAAUUUUGCUGAUAGGAGGCAGAAGAAUCAGGGUCAAGUACAAAUUUCAGUAUUUUCUUCACCAAAAUUGAGCUGUCGAUAGUGCAUCUAAGUAGGCAGCCAUGUACUCCACUCUUUUGACAUCAUAAAGAAAUUCUUCAAUGGUGGAAUUAGGAUCAUUCUCAUCAACGUACCCUACCAGAUCCAUUACAUACAUAUCAGAACAUGCAAGAAAGUUAUGCAUCAAAAGGACUUUCCAAAUCUGUACACACCAUUUUCUGUAAUGAACAUGGGUAUACCACUGUAUCUCUCUUUUACAUAGGUAACCAUUUUCUCCAUUCCUUGUGGGUAAACAUAUAGCCAGGCCAAUGCAGUCUGCACCAAUCAAGGAGGUUCAGCAAUUUGUUGAGAGUGCAAAGUUAACUUGAGAUGAUGUUGAUGAGCAUGGUUACUUACUGAUUCUCCAAUGGAGACACCAUCCUUUUGUGGAGUUUGUCGACAGAAUCCUUCUGUCCUGGAGGCUCCUUUUCCAGGUUCACACAAGGAGAAAAUGCAGUCCUGGGCGUACAAGCUAGUGUAGUGGUUGAUGCCAAUGAAAUCUAAUGCCUUAUUCAGUUUCUUCCUAUCGUUGCUUGAAAAUUCUGGUAAAAUGGAUCCAAGAAUUGUAUUCAUCUCUUCAGGAUAUCUUCCAAAUAUAAUUGGGUCCAAGAACCUGCAUAAUUUGGUUAGAACUUGUUAUAUCUCUUUUCUCAUGCAUAUUCAUUUAUC